UGUGUUGACCUGGUGUCUACCUGUAGU
rnacentral:piRNA from 1 species